GCAUACGAUGCACAAAUAGUAUAUCUUGCUGCAUGAUCGGAAGUGCACACAGGCACGAUUGCGCUUUGUUUUAGGUCGGCCUGAGACAAAGCACCACCCAAUAAUUGCAACAACGACGAUCAUAGUCACAGUAGAAGAUCACCGAACGAACAGACCACAAAGGAGUAGAUGAUGCAGAACGCCAGCUACAGCAAGCAAUCCAUGAAACUUAACCAGGAGAUGCCGAUCUUUGAGGCCUUCUCAGCUUGCUUCGAGCAAGGACCAGAUGACGAGGAAGAGGUUGAAGCUGCUGCUUCGGUCUGGGGAUUGAGGCAGAGGAAGAAGUUUCUCGAGCCCAAGUCAACCAGCUUUUCCUUCGGAUCCAGACCUGAUGGGAAUCGCCGACAUCAUCAGAUGAUAGACGGAGGAGGACAGGAAGAGUUGGGUGUUCGGUGACGGUCUUUGCUUACUUUCAAGGCUGAAUUGGGAGUAGUGGAGGCCGAAGGCGGAGGGCUCCGGCGUGGGCAGCGGCGGCCGCCUCCCCUCCUUGACGUAGAGCCGCAGCGCCGCGGCCACCAGGUCCCCGACGCUCCAAUCCGUGGAUGCCAUCACCUGCACCGGCCCCAGGCUCCGCUGCACCGUCACAUUGACCAGCACCUUGGUCGGCACCUUCCGCUCCACCUCAUCCGGCAACUUUCCUGCGGCUGCUGCCGCUGCCGCUCCACCUCUCCUAGCCCCGCGGGGGAGCAGGUUGGGCUGGGUCUUGGGUCGCCGAAUCUGGUGGUGCUCCUGCGGGAAGGCCGUCGUCGUUCGCCCGUGGAAGGAGGCGGAGCGCUCGGGAGGGUGCUUCCUGACCCCCACGCUCCGCUCUUGCUGGCCGCUGCGG
rnacentral:lncRNA from 1 species